UCCUGGUGAGGCUGAUAAUCUGCUGACUGGACUGACAUGUGGAAAAUUCUGAGAAGAGGACUGUAGAUAUGAAGAGACUGCCAAGGAGUCCAUGACACCACAAAGGAAGUUAAGAACCCAUGCUGUAGUUCAACAAAAACACACAGACAGCGAUGGCUGCAUGAACUAAUCAGCUUUAGUCAGCAUUUUCUUCCAGAGGUGAUUAUGAGAGCCACAACUCUAAUUCUUGGAUUCUAGAACCAAUUGGUCAUGCCUUAAAUAUGGACAUGACUUCCAGUGAUGCAGGCUGCAAGCUUUCUACACUCUUUC
rnacentral:lncRNA from 1 species